AGCGAACGCUGGCGGCAGGCUUAACACAUGCAAGUCGAACGGGCGUAGCAAUACGUCAGUGGCAGACGGGUGAGUAACGCGUGGGAACGUACCUUUUGGUUCGGAACAACCCAGGGAAACUUGGGCUAAUACCGGAUAAGCCCUUACGGGGAAAGAUUUAUCGCCGAAAGAUCGGCCCGCGUCUGAUUAGCUAGUUGGUGUGGUAACGGCGCACCAAGGCGACGAUCAGUAGCUGGUCUGAGAGGAUGAUCAGCCACAUUGGGACUGAGACACGGCCCAAACUCCUACGGGAGGCAGCAGUGGGGAAUAUUGGACAAUGGGCGCAAGCCUGAUCCAGCCAUGCCGCGUGAGUGAUGAAGGCCCUAGGGUUGUAAAGCUCUUUUGUGCGGGAAGAUAAUGACGGUACCGCAAGAAUAAGCCCCCGGCUAACUUCGUGCCAGCAGCCGCCGUAAC
rnacentral:rRNA from 1 species